AAGAAUCAGGCACAUAGACAACACAGAAUAGACAAUAUAUUUUAAUGAAUAUGUUGUCAAUUAUUAUUUAGACAACAGCUAUGUCUAAAUUAGUUGUCUAUAGCCAUAAAAAAUAAGGUUAUAGACAACCAAUUCUGAAACCUGUUGUCUAUAACUACUCUUAGACAACAUAAUUUAAGCUUUGUUGUUUAUUGAUACAGUAGACAACAUAUCUUAUCGAGUAUUGUCUUUAUUUAACGUCUAUAGACAAUAAGCCAGCAUACGUGUUGUCUAUGAAUUCAUUAAACAACAUAUCUUGGAAACACUUGUCUAGUUUAAUUCAAAAAACAAUUAUCUAAUUUAAUUAAAAAAUCACUACAACAAAAAUCCCUCACCCAUCCAUCUCACCGUCCCUUAACCAUUUCCGCCCUUUCUCUGCUCUCUGGCCUACUGCAUCUGGUCACCAUCGUCUACCUUUCGACUGGCCAUUGUGCCGCCGCCCAUCCUCUUUUCGUGGCGGCGCCACCCUGCUGUUAUCCACGGCUUCACCCUUGCUUGUCUCUCCGGCGCUGCCCUUGCUUUGCUCGACGAGGUGCCGCCCUUGCUAUGCUUGUCGCGACGUCGGAGCACUAAAGCUCAGCGAACUCGCGACCGCCUUGCUGCGGCCAUCACCUCGCCUCCGUUCCUUAUUCUCCCCCACCUCCAGGUUUGAUUAAGAAAAAUGACUAGGGCAUUUUAUUUUAUUUUCACAUUUGUCUAAUUUUGGAUAACUGCUCUAUUGAUUUCAGGUUUAUUUCUAGUUUGGUGCGAUAUAAAUUUUGAUCUGAUUUACAUUGAUUAAUUGAAUUCCUCUUUGGUCUGUUCUAAUAAGAAGGACCAUAACCCCCUUCAUCCUCAGUGUCUGCUGCAAUUCACUCAGCUUCCUGAUUGGUAGACGGCUGCUCGGCGGGAACUCAUCGCCGUCGCUCCCUCCGCCACCGUCUUCCUCACCUAAAUGCAGCGCCAGCUCCAUCGACAUCCAACGCCUUUCAACUGGACCAUCACUGCAGCAAACCCUUGGUGCAAUUGAGCUGUAUAUAACGCUUGAUUGUGUGCGAAGUUGGGAUGAAGAAGGUGGAUUCAGCAGCGAAGAAGGCUUGUCAAGCGGAGAAGAGGCGGAACAAAGCCAAGAAGUCCGAAGUUAGGACUAGGAUGAAGAAGAAUAGCGAAAGGCAUCAUCACCAUAGCCGGUUGGCUGAGUUUUUUUUAUUUUUUCCCUUGUUGUGAUGAUUGAUGAAUGCUCAAGUCCCUGAUAAUAUUCUAAACAGCGCCAUCCCUAAAGGAGCAGGUUCAAUAUUACCUCUUAUAUACUACUAAUAUAUUUUUGCUUUGAAGUAUGCAUAUAUGUAUGUGGAUAUUGACUAAAUAACUAGCUAUAUCCUUUGUUGUUAUAGUUUGCCUGAUCGGAGUGAACCAGCGUACUCUUACGUUGAGGGAUCUGGAGACGAAGCUGAUAGUUGGAUGGUGUAUCUGCAAGUAGACUCUCUUUAACACUACUUCGGAAAAAAGAAUAUUAUUACUAUAAGCUCUAAUCUGGAUUUCUACAAUUGCCACAAGGUUUAUAUUGAUUACUAUGAUGGCCCAUCAUUUAUGUAAGAUAUAUUGGAAACGGUUGUUUAUGCUGCUCACCUAUUAAUUCUAUUUUAGAAGACAAACAUCUCCGUUCGAGGUGCAAGGAUUUUCAAUGUGAUGGAUGAAAUGAUUAGCAAAGGAAUGAGAAAUGUUUGUUGGAUGGUUGAAUUUGUUGGAUGAUUGGUGGUGAAUGUUGAAGGUUGGAGAUUAUAUUAGAAGUUUUUUUAGUAGAUAAAUGAUGAAGGCGUAGUUAGAGACAAUACAAUUCUGGAUGUAAUGUCUUUUGUGAAAUACUAAAAGAGAUGUUUGACUUUUAUGAUAUUAAUCGAGUUUUCAUUAAUGGUA